CUCUUGUGACUUUGCAAUUUUUUUGCGUCUUACUGCUGCAUCAUCCCUCUUGUGGCAACCAGCAAGUUGAUUGUAUGCAGCUUAAUUUGACCCUGAUCUUUAGUCAAACCCACUUCUUUUUAACAGCUUUUGUACAAUCACUCAGAUGACUCUAUACAAGAGUUGCUUUAUUCAAGCAUUUUAAAAAUUGCUUCCAGCCG
rnacentral:misc_RNA from 1 species